UUUAUUUUUUACUUUAAACUUUGAUUUUAUUUUUAUGUUUUUUAAAUAUUGGUGUUUUUGAAUGUGUUGUUUAAAUAACAUAAAAAAUAAAAUAUAUAUUGACAUGUAUUAAACAAAGAUAUAUAUUAUUUUAUGUUGUAUAAAUAAAUUGGCAAAAUAGAGAUGGAAGAUAAAAAUAUGGUCAAAGUAAUAAGAGUCUAUGG
rnacentral:misc_RNA from 1 species